GGAACACUGGCUUCUCAGCCUUCCAUCUGGAACACCCUGUGUAGGGGAAGUCCACAAGCAGCUCAGGCACGCAGCCAUCACAGUGCUAUGCAGCCAGCGUUAGACUCAGCAGAAGCUAGCCCUCUAUGAGUGAGAGAGAGAGAGUGGAAAAUAGAGACGCCUUCAUGUCCACACGAAUGAGUGAUUCACUCACCUCCUCACCCAGAUUCCAGCACCCAGAUGCGACAGCCGUGUUCUCAGAUUUUCAGAUCCUGUGUGUGAAACAGGGAAUAAAUGAACUCGCUUUCUCACAGGCCUUCACAACAGUGAGAAGCAUGACAUCACAGGGGUUUUUAAUCAGAGAGAGAGAAGUUGAGUGGGUAGGGAGAAGUUGAAGGAAGAAAAGCAUGAUUGGAAUAUAUUGUCUGAAUUUUUUUUUCAAUGAAAGUAAAGGAAAAAAAAAAAAAAGAAUCCAUCUCACCCCAGUGGGCACGACUGUCAUCAAGAACGUGGACAAGGAUGGCACAGGAGGGAGAAGCCUUCACUGUCGGUGAGGAUGCAAAUUAAUGCAGCCACUGUGGAAAUAACCAUGAAAUUCUCUAAAAAGAAACCGCCGUGGGAUCCAGCUGUCUGCCUCCAGAGUAUACAUCCACAGGGGUCUCCAGAGUAUACAUCCACACCGCCAUUCCAGGGACACCCGCCCGUCCAUGUACCAUGUAACACUGUCCACAAUAGCUGAGACAUAGAACCAGUCCCGGUGCCCGUCCGUGGAUGCAUGGACAAAUAAAACCCAGCACAGACGUACAACCGGGUAUCCUUCAUCCCGGAAGAAGAGCAAAGCCAGGCAGUGUGAUGGAAAGUGAGGGGACUGCAGAGCACGCUAAGUGAAGUGAGCCAGACUCAGAAGGACCAAUGUUGCCUGUGUUCACUCAAGAGCAGAAUCUAGAUAAAAAGAAGACACGAGAGUAGAA